CACCAGGUUGAUUCUGCCUGACGUAGAUGCUAGUCUCUAAGAUUAAGCCAUGCAUGUUCAGUGAACCUUUAGGGAAACGACAGACAGCUCAGUAAUACUGCGAUAAUUUAGUCUAUGUAAUUUAAAUAACUACGGGAAACAGUAGCUAAUAAUAAUAGAAUAAGACGCAGUGCUAUCAGUUAGUUGGUAGUGUAAUGGACUACCAAGACUAUGACGGCUAACGGGAAAUUAGGGUUUUAUUCCGGAGAGGGAGCCUGAGAAAUUGCUCCCACGUCCAAGGACGGCAGCAGGCGCGAAAAUUGCCCACUCUUUUAUGAGGAGGCGGUUAUGAGACGUGAUAUAAAGAACCUAGUAUAAAUGCAUAGGUGUAAUGCGAUUGGAGGGCAAGAUUGGUGCCAGCAGCCGCGG
rnacentral:rRNA from 1 species